GAAUUUAAGUUGCUGUAGUGUGACAGUAAUCUUAAAAUUUGGAAUGUUUACAGGAAGGCUACAGAUUGCGUUAAAGCUGUCUCCAUAAAGACUGCAGGAUCUAUGACACUAAUCAAACUGCCUAAAAAUGUGUCAAACAUUCUGACCCUUAACUUGCUUACUGUGAGUCUUCAUAGGACAUGAC
rnacentral:lncRNA from 1 species